GGCGGGGCUCUGUUGGUAGAAGGGGGCGUGGCCUCCUCUGAUAGGCCGCGCUCCUCGCAGGGCGUAGCCGGCGCGGCGCGGGGCUGGGCGGGUCUUAGGCCUGGUGGCCGGCGUGGACUGGCGUGAGCAGCGGCUCCUUUAAGCCCCCGGCCCCGCCCCCCGCCCCCCGCCCCGUCCUCGGCGUGGCCCGGGUCUGGCCGCGGAGGGGUCCGGUCCGCGGGACCGCGAUGGAGCUGCACAUUCUAGAGCACCGCGUGCGGGUGCUGAGCCUCGCCCGCUCCGGCCUCUGGCUCUACACCCACCCGCUCAUCAAGCUGCUCUUCCUGCCCCGCCGAAGCCGGUGCAAGUUCUUCAGCCUGACGGAGACUCCCGAGGAUUACACGCUCAUGGUGGACGAGGAGGGCUUCAAAGAGCUGCCCCCCUCGGAGUUCCUGCAAGUGGCUGAGGCCACCUGGCUGGUGCUGAGCGUGUCGUCCCACAGCGGAGCAGCGGUGCAAGCGGCGGGGGUCACGAAGAUUGCCCGCUCGGUCAUCGCGCCGCUGGCCGAGCACCACGUGUCUGUGCUGAUGCUGUCCACCUACCAGACGGACUUCAUCCUGGUGCGGGAGCAGGACCUGCCCGUGGUGAUCCACACGCUGGCCCAGGAGUUCGACAUUUACCGAGAGGUGGGCGGGGAGCCUGUGCCUGUUGCCAGGGACGAUUCCAGCAAUGGCUGUCCCCGUGCUCAGCAUGCAGGGCCCAACCCCACGGUGCAUCCUAUCCAAAGUCCACAGAACCGCUUUUGUGUCCUCACGCUGGACCCCGAAACACUGCCUGCCAUCGCUACCACCCUCAUCGACGUCCUCUUCUACUCCCACAGUGCCCCCAAAGAGGCAGCCCCUGGCGAGCCUGGACCCAGCUCCAUCACGUUCUUUGCCUUCUCCCUCAUCGAGGGCUACAUCUCCAUCGUCAUGGAUGCGGAGACACAGAAAAAGUUCCCCAGUGACCUGCUGCUGACCAGCUCCUCGGGGGAGCUGUGGAGGAUGGUGCGCAUCGGAGGACAGCCCCUGGGCUUCGAUGAAUGUGGGAUCGUGGCCCAGAUCGCGGGUCCCCUGGCUGCGGCCGACAUCUCUGCCUACUACAUCAGCACCUUCAACUUCGACCACGCCCUGGUGCCCGAGGACGGCAUCGACAGCGUCAUCAAAGUCCUCCAGCGGCGGCAGGAGGGCCUGGGCUCCUGAGGCCACGGGGGAGCCGCAGCCCCUGCGCUCGCCCCUCACCCCCAGGCUUCCAGAGACUUCUCUAAGCUAUUUCCCCAAGCUCUGGUUCGUUUUCCAGGAAACGGUGAACAUCUGCAGUGAGCGGAAGACCAGCUCUGAGCUUCCGAACAGUCACCAUAAAGGAAGACGUCAGCGUCUUUGACACCGAGCCUUCCCCAAAACGCGGUCAUGUGCUUCGGGAUAUUGAUUGUGCAACCAUCGCCGCGACCUCAUUCAAACACAUUUCAUCACCCCAAAGAAACCCUGUCCAUCGGCCACCACUCCUCAUCCCCAGACGCCCCCACCCCAGCCCUGGGAGACCACGGCUGUCUCUAUGGACGGUUCACAGAGAGGGGCCCCUACAGUACCUGGCCCUUGUGACUGGCCCCGCUCACGUGGCAUAAUGUCUUCAGGGGUCGCCCGCAGUUCCUCUCCAUGGCUGAGCCCUAUUCCAUUGUAUGGAGAUAGCGCAGUUUUUAAAUCCAUUUCUGUUGAUGGUCAUUGGGGCUGCGUCCACGCGGGGGCUGUUGUGAAUAAAUGCUGCUCUGAGCAUGUGUGUGCACAUCCGUUCUCAAUUCUCUCGGGCGUGUAGGUGUGGGACAGUGAGGUGUCUGACACCUCUAUGUUUAACCCUGUGAGGCCCUGACAGCCUGUCUCCCCAGGGCUUGGGUUCCUCCCCAUCCUCUCCAGCACUUGCCCCGUCUGCCUGUGAUUCUAGCCACCCUCGUGGGUGUGAAGCGGUACCUCACUGUGGUUUUGAUUUGCAUCUCCCUGAUGGCUAGUGAUCUUGACCAUCUUUGCUCGUUACUUGCUGGCCAUUCGUCUUUCUCUUUUGGAGACAUGUCUAAUCAAAUCCUCUGUCCAUUUAAAAAAAAAAUUAUAUAUGUAUAUUUUUUAUUGAUUUUAGAGAGAGGAAGGGAGAGGGAGAGAAACAUCAAUGAUGAGAGAGAAUCAUCGAUCAGCUGCUUCCUGUGUGGGCUCUACUGGGGAUUGAGCCCGCAACCUGGGCUCCUGCCCUGACCGGGAAUCAAACCGUGUGACCUCCUGGAUCAUAGGCCAACCCGCAACCACUGAGCCACACUGGCCGGGUCAUUUCUGUUUGUUUGUUUGUUAAAUAUAAUCCCCCCCCCUAAGAGCUUUUGGGGGUGGUCCUUCCGGGCCUCACGAGAAGGACUCCUGGCCACCUCUCUGCGAAGGCCCAGCCCACACAGCCGUGGACGUUCACACGCAGCUUGGGAAGCACGCAGGCGGCGAAGACACUCGCUUUGCCAAUGUCCCUAACGGCUGCGGCCUCGUCUGUGUUUCAGAGGACGAGGUUCCUAAUGGCCUUGUCCUCGGGCUCACAGCUGGCGCAGCUGGUGCUGCUAACGGGCCUUCUCCGGCACGACCAUUGCUCCUUCCUCUCCUGGUCGCCUUGGAAGCGAGGGCCCAAGAGAGAGGCCCCUUGGCCCACUUUUGACCUGGGUUGCUUGUCUCUUGAUAAGUUGUGCCGCUGUCAUCCACAGAGUGGACACGGAGGCUCAGAAAGGCGUGGUGACUGGAUCGAGAACACGGCGCAGCCCGGCCACGGGGCUCAGGGGUUGAGCGUCGACCUGUGAACCGGGAGGUCACGGUCAGGGCACAUGCCCGGGUUGUGGGCUCGAUCCCCAGGGUGGGGCGUGCAGGAGGCAGCCGAUCCAUGAUCCUCUCAUCAUGGAUGUUUCUCUCUCUCCCUCUCCUUUCCUCUCCGAAAUCAAUAAACACAUUUUUAAAAAGAACACUGGGCUCCCAGCGGCUUGGUCUCCGACUCCCACCCCGCUGGUCA